UUGGCCAUGAUAAUCCUUAUGAUAUAUCACAGGAUUUGAAAAAGAUUGAAAUAUAAUAUGGAUGACUAUUCUAGGAUUAAUAGUUAAACUCUAGAUCACCUUGAGCAUUAAGGUCAAAGGGAUAAAUUAUGCGGUAACCAUAUGCUAAAGUUCUUAAAUUUUGCUUUGCAAUUGUUUGACCUAUUCAGAUAUCGGAUAGCAUUGUCAGAUAGUCACUUCAAUUAGUACAAGAAGUGAUUCCUAUGCUAUCGGCUUAGUGUUCGAACCUAUGGAGUCAUGCACAAAGUCAAACA
rnacentral:lncRNA from 1 species